rnacentral:rRNA from 1 species
UACGUAGGGCGCAAGCGUUGUCCGGAAUUAUUGGGCGUAAAGAGCUCGUAGGCGGCCAGUUGCGUCCGCUGUGAAAUCCCGGGGCUUAACCCCGGGCGUGCAGUGGAUACGGGCUGGCUAGAGGCAGGCAGGGGAGAACGGAAUUCCCGGUGUAGCGGUGAAAUGCGCAGAUAUCAGGAAGAACACCCGUGGCGAAGGCGGCUCUCUGGGACGGUACUGACGCUGAGACGCGAAAGCGUGGGGAGCGAACAGG